GAUGAACGCUGACAGAAUGCUUAACACAUGCAAGUCUUUGGUGAAGCUGUGCCUGCACAGCCUAGCCAAGGCGGACGGGUGAGUAACGCGUAAGGAACUUGCCCUGCAGUCAGGGAUAACAGACGGAAACGACUGAUAAGACCUGGUAAAGUCAGGCGGACUCAUGUCCAGCCUGAUGAAAAGAGAUGCUGCAGGAGAGCCUUGCGUCCUAUUAGCUUGUUGGUGGGGUAACGGCCCACCAAGGCAAUGAUAGGUAGCCGGCCUGAGAGGGUGGACGGCCACAAGGGGACUGAGAUACGGCCCUUACUCCUACGGGAGGCAGCAGUGGGGAAUAUUGGACAAUGGGGGCAACCCUGAUCCAGCAAUUCUGUGUGCACGAUGAAGGUUUUCGGAUUGUAAAGUGCUUUCAGCAGGGAAGAAAAAAAUGACGGUACCUGCAGAAGAAGCGACGGCUAAAUACGUG
rnacentral:rRNA from 1 species